rnacentral:rRNA from 1 species
CACAGGAGAGCUUGCUCUCUGGGUGACGAGCGGCGGACGGGUGAGUAAUGUCUGGGAAACUGCCCGAUGGAGGGGGAUAACUACUGGAAACGGUAGCUAAUACCGCAUAACGUCUUCGGACCAAAGAGGGGGACCUUCGGGCCUCUUGCCAUCGGAUGUGCCCAGAUGGGAUUAGCUAGUAGGUGGGGUAAUGGCUCACCUAGGCGACGAUCCCUAGCUGGUCUGAGAGGAUGACCAGCCACACUGGAACUGAGACACGGUCCAGACUCCUACGGGAGGCAGCAGUGGGGAAUAUUGCACAAUGGGCGCAAGCCUGAUGCAGCCAUGCCGCGUGUAUGAAGAAGGCCUUCGGGUUGUAAAGUACUUUCAGCGAGGAGGAAGGCGUUGCGGUUAAUAACCGCAGCGAUUGACGUUACUCGCAGAAGAAGCACCGGCUAACUCCGUGCCAGCAGCCGCGGUAAUACGGAGGGUGCAAGCGUUAAUCGGAAUUACUGGGCGUAAAGCGCACGCAGGCGGUCUGUCAAGUCGGAUGUGAAAUCCCCGGGCUCAACCUGGGAACUGCAUUCGAAACUGGCAGGCUAGAGUCUUGUAGAGGGGGGUAGAAUUCCAGGUGUAGCGGUGAAAUGCGUAGAGAUCUGGAGGAAUACCGGUGGCGAAGGCGGCCCCCUGGACAAAGACUGACGCUCAG